UACGUAGGGGGCAAGCGUUGUCCGGAAUCAUUGGGCGUAAAGCGCGUGUAGGCGGCUCGAUAAGUCCGUUCUGAAAGUCCAGGGCUCAACCCUGGGAUGCGGAUGGAUACUGUCGAGCUCGAGUCCGGAAGAGGCGAGUGGAAUUCCUGGUGUAGCGGUGAAAUGCGCAGAUAUCAGGAGGAACACCAAUGGCGAAGGCAGCACUCUGGGACGUGACUGACGCUGAGACGCGAAAGCGUGGGGAGCAAACAGG
rnacentral:rRNA from 1 species